rnacentral:snRNA from 1 species
AUGCUCGCCUAGUUAGCACAUGUACUGGAAUUGGAACAAUACAGAGGAUUAGCGUGGCCCCAGGGCAAAGGAUGACACACAAAUUAGUGAAGUGCUCCGUAUUUUU